GGUCACACGGGAUGACUCUAUAUCCCACCCUCCUCCACCCCCCUGGGAGAGUCUGGAGUGCUGCGUCAUGUCUGAAACCAUGGGAAAAAAAUUUAAAUCAUUCGUAUUCUGCGACAGCAAGAAUUCUUUAGCUGUGAGAGGAGAUGGGGUGUCAAACAAACGGAAUAUUCCUGGCUAUUUGUAUGUGCGGAAGAAUGAAGCGUUUGCAUCAGAAGGGCUGAGAGGGUCACACCUGUGGCAAUACCAGAUCCAAGACGUGUCUGCGACUUGCACUGCAGCUUGUGCCAAUGCUGUGAUCCUUAACCCAUUGAGCAAGGCCAGGGAUCGAACCUGCAUCCUCAUGGAUACUACUCAGCUGAACUUCUUUUGCUGUCCAUCAGCCUGAGGCGUGUUCCCAUGAGAAGCACCCUGACCUCGUGGGGAGGUGGGUUUCCCAACUCUUGGGUCCUUAGUUAGGGUCCCUUCCAAAGGACUGUGGUUGCCGCCAGCCUGGGUUUCAUCCUCCUUAAAGCAGAUGGGACAGGAGUUCCCGCUGUGGGGCAAUGGCACAGGCAGCAUCCUUGCUGCUUCAGGGCACAGGUUCAGUGCCCAGCCUGGGAAGCGGAUUAAAGAUCCAGCAUUGCCACAGCGGUGGUGUAGGUCACAAGUGUGGCUCAGAUCCGAUCCCUGGCCCGGGAACUCUAUAUGCUGCUGGAAGGCCAAAAAAGAAAGAAGAAGAAAAAAAAAA
rnacentral:lncRNA from 1 species